UACGUAGGGGGCAAGCGUUGUCCGGAUUUAUUGGGCGUAAAGAGUUCGUAGGUGGUUCGUUAAGUCUGAUGUUAAAGACUGGGGCUCAACCCUGGAAGUGCAUUGGAUACUGGCGGACUUGAGUGUGGUAGAGGCAAUCGGAAUUCCCGGUGUAGCGGUGAAAUGCGUAGAGAUCGGGAAGAACAUCGGUGGCGAAAGCGCUCUGCUGGACUGCAACUGACACUCAGGGACGAAAGCUAGGGGAGCGAAUGGG
rnacentral:rRNA from 1 species